rnacentral:lncRNA from 1 species
CAUAAGGUACUUUGUUCAUGCCUAUCAAAACACACAAACUAGAAGGAGUCAUAACCUUGGCAAGUCUGUUCUUUUUUGUUCUAAAUUGUGCCUUCCACUCAGGUUUUGUUUUUCCCCCUAAAGAUCUACCAUAACUUAUCUUUUUUGUUUUGUUUCCUUUUUCAUUAUUCAGAACUUGAGUACCAUGGCUUUGUUGUUGGACCAAUGAUGUGUGGAUGGACUAUUUCUUGUUCUGGAAGGAAGCAAACAGUGGUACAGGACACAUUGAGAAAAGACUCCAAGGAUGAUGCAGGAUGGUGAGGGAAUCCAUCUGAGCCCAGGAGUGGAAACAAUGGGCAGAUGGCAAAGGAGACACCCUUAAAAGUGUGUAAGCUUGGAAUGCUGCAGGAUUUUAAGAGCCAAGAGCAAUGCUGGCAUGAUCAUAAGGUCACCAGGCCCUCAACACAUGCCAAAAGCAGAAUGGUGGGUAUCAAAACACUUUAAGUUCACAGAAAGAUAUCGAAAAGAUUUUGUGCCAAGUCUUUAAUGGCAUUAAUUAUGUGAAAUUAUUCUACAAACCUAAAUCAUGUUCAUUUGAUGGUGCAUUUAUAUAGCUCCUGAGAUCAUCUCAAAAUAUGGGGG